rnacentral:lncRNA from 1 species
GAAAGGAUCAACCAAUGGAUCAAUUCCAUCCUUCUAACAACUUUCUUGAUAUGCCAUAAGUAUUUCCGGAGGAUCAAUCUUAGUAAAGAUUGGGAAGUUGUCUACUGGAGUCCUCGUUCGACAAAUGUCAUUCGUUGAGGGAAUAAAAUUUGACCUUACAACCUUAAAAAUGAGACCCAUGCUCUUGAGAUUCUUCCCCUAGAAGAUC